rnacentral:lncRNA from 1 species
GGGGAGAAGAAGGGAAAGGAGUUUGGAUGGACGAACAGCAUAAGCAACAUUCUGGAAUUUUCUUUAAUGCUCUCAUGAAUGCAUUCUUGGAAUUUUCUAAUAUGUAAACAUUAUUUUGUGGCCAACUGACUUCAAUUAUAUGUAGAACCAUCCAAAAGUCUCCUCUCAGGCAUUAAGGAACAUGAACGCUUUUAAGGGAUUUCCAAACUGGAAAUAACCAACACAACUAGGUCAAGCAUCCAUCAUGCACCAUGUACACCACAGUGCACCACAGCUGAGACCAGUGUGGAUCCCACCAUCAGCAGCUUUUCCAAAGGACCCAGGCAAAAUGUGUGGUGUUUCUGAGGGCAUCCUCUUCCACAUUUUUAGCGUAAUCUACCUCGACACACAGAUGCAAUGCUCACAGAGGCCAGAACGCUUCCCAGAAGCAGCCAAGAGUGAGCACUUUCUCAUGGUGUAAAAUAUUCUACCAAAACCUUAUUUCCAAUAGGAGGGUCCAGAUAAUCAAAGCUUCGGAUCUCCUAAAACCUGGCUUUGCCUCUUACUUGAGAACUUUGCAAAGAAGAAUGCUAGCCAGUGAAUGUUCAGAGAGGAAGGAAGAAGAAGCUGUCCAAUGACCUUUUUUCUUAUGGCUUUCUAACUUGAUUCUUGACACUGUCACCAAGGAGUAAUCUGUGGAGAGACAUUUGAUUGAUUAUCUCUGCAAUCCUCCCCUCCCCACUUCCUUCUCUGGCCCCUCCUUGUCCACAUGGGCCUCUGGAGAAACCAGCGAGGGAUGACUGGGGAUAAAGGCUCGUCUCUGGAGAGGGCUGCCAACCUCACCUUGUUCCAAGUCUCCACAAAACACAGCCAACCUUCCAGACACAAAAGAAGCACCUCCUGACUCCAUCUCUUUUCCUUGUUUUCUCUCUUUACAAGCAUAUUGGUAUUUUUUCACAGAGAGAUAAUUCCCAUUCACUUCUAGGAAGAAAAUUUCGCUCUCAAAACUGUUGGUGAGAGACCCCUUGAAGAGAGAACUUCUCUGUUCUUCUGGAGGAGAUGAUUUAGUAAGGCAGUGCUGGAGUUCAAACUGAGCCUCCACAGGCCUAACUUGCUUCACUUUUAAGCUUUUAGGAAGAGAGCUUUUAGAGAGAGAAAAUUGCUUUCCAAAAGGGAACUCUAGAAAGAGGACGAAUGAGCAGGGCUGAAACUUUGAGAGAAAAUGGAAGGAGUUGGAAGAUGGAGGGAGGAACCAAAGUAACUAAUAAGAAUUUCUGGGGCUGGGUGCAGUGGCUCACACUUGAAAUCUCAGCACUUUGGGAGGCUGAAGUCGUGGAUCACAUGAGUCCAGGAAUUCAAGAGCAGCCUGGGCAAUAUGGCAAGACCCCGUCUCUACAAAAAAUACAAAAAUUAGCUGGGCAUGGGGGUGUCUGUAGUCCCAGCUACUCGGGAGGCUGAAGCAGGAAGAUCCCUGGAGCCCAGAGGUUGAGGCUGCAGUGGGCCGUAAUCACGCCACUGCGCUCCAGCCUGGACGGCCAAGUGAGACUAUCUCAAAAAAAAAAAAAGAAUUUAUUAAUUUCUUCUUAUGAAAUAUACAAUAUAGGCCCCCUCUUUUUGCUCCUGUAUGAGAAUGUGAAGAAAAGUCUUUGGCUUGAUGUGCAGUCCUGAUUCCUCUGGAUUCCUUUUGGGAGAGAGGUUAGAACAAGAACUGAGGCCUGGUUCCAGUAAGUGCCUGGAUGCAGGACAGCAGGGUAGCUGACAUCCUGGAUAUGCAAAGUAACAGCAUGGAGAAUAAAGGAGUGAGGAAAAUUAAUAAAACAUGGAAUAUUUUAAUAAGACUGCAAGGAAGCAUACAGAGACACAUGGAAAAUACAAAGAUAGCUGUUUUAUUGUAGCAUGGACAUGGACUUUAUGGCUGGCAAUUUGGGCGUUUCAAGCUCUUUUUGUUGUUUACUUGUGGUACAUGUUUGACAAGUAAUUUCCAUUUUCCAAGUCAUUUUUUUCAUCUGUAAAAUGAGACUAAUUCAAAUAACUUCCCUCGAUAGGUUUCUAUUUUUGGUGAGAAUUGUUUUUUUCUUUUCAUGUAGUAUAUAUUUUAUUAGCUUGUACUAAUACAUUCUCAUAUUACAAAGUCAAUUUAGUGGAAGAAUCUUCCUUCUGAUAUUUGAUUCAUGUGAAAUAACACAAACAGAACUAUACAUUCAAAAAAAUUCUCAUUUAGAUAACAAAAAAAAGACAAGUUAAACAACAAAAAUCUUUUCCUUUCUCACAGGUGGACAUUGAAGUGGACCUAAUUCGGUUUUCCUUUUAAAAGCCCCCACAAACAAAAGUAGUUUGAAACCUAUUUAAAAU